rnacentral:rRNA from 1 species
GUCUAUGACCAUGCCACCCUGAACAAGCCCAAUCCCGUCUGAUUUCGGAAGCUAAGCAGGGUCGGGCCUGGUUAGCAUUUGGAUGGGAGACCACCUAGAAAGACCAGGUGCUGUAGGCG